rnacentral:rRNA from 1 species
UUCAACGGCCGCGGUAUUUUAACCGUGCGAAGGUAGCGUAAUCACUUGUCUUUUAAAUAAAGACUAGUAUGAAUGGCACCACGAGAACUAAACUGUCUCCCCCAUCUAAUCAGUGAAACUGAUCUCCCCGUGCAGAAGCGGGGAUUAAACCAUAAGACGAGAAGACCCUGUGGAGCUUUAAAUCAAAAGUCAACUGCCCACCUAUUACCACAUAAUGGAAACACUAAGGCGGAUAUGAGCAAGAUUUUCAGCUGGGGCGCCUAUGGAGAAAAAAACAUCCUCCAUGAAGAACUACGCUAAGAGAAACCCCUCUAAGCAUUAAUAAACUUAGCUUAAAUUGACCCAAAUUUAUUGAUCAACGGACCAAGUUACCCCAGGGAUAACAGCGCAAUCCACUUUUAGAGUCCUUAUCGACAAGUGGGCUUACGACCUCGAUGUUGGAUCAGGGCACCCAAGUGGUGCAGCUACUACUAAAGGUUCGUUUGUUCAACGAUUAAAG